CGCGGCCUAUCAGCUUGUUGGUGAGGUAAUGGCUCACCAAGGCGACGACGGGUAGCCGGCCUGAGAGGGCGACCGGCCACACUGGGACUGAGACACGGCCCAGACUCCUACGGGAGGCAGCAGUGGGGAAUAUUGCACAAUGGGCGAAAGCCUGAUGCAGCGACGCCGCGUGAGGGAUGACGGCCUUCGGGUUGUAAACCUCUUUUAGCAGGGAAGAAGCGAAAGUGACGGUACCUGCAGAAGAAGCGCCGGCUAACUACGUGCCAGCAGCCGCGGUAAUACGUAGGGCGCAAGCGUUGUCCGGAAUUAUUGGGCGUAAAGAGCUCGUAGGCGGCUUGUCACGUCGGGUGUGAAAGCCCGGGGCUCAACCCCGGGUCUGCAUCCGAUACGGGCAGGCUAGAGUGUGGUAGGGGAGAUCGGAAUUCCUGGUGUAGCGGUGAAAUGCGCAGAUAUCAGGAGGAACACCGGUGGCGAAGGCGGAUCUCUGGGCCAUUACUGACGCUGAGGAGCGAAAGCGUGGGGAGCGAACAGGAUUAGAUACCCUGGUAGUCCACGCCGUAAACGUUGGGAACUAGGUGUUGGCGACAUUCCACGUCGUCGGUGCCACAGCUAACGCAUUAAGUUCCCCGCCUGGGGAGUACGG
rnacentral:rRNA from 1 species